GGCAAACCGUAUUGUUGGCUUCGCCUAGGGUCUCCCUUCUACUGUCGCCGCAACCUGACCAACCUCCCUUCUACUGCCCGCCUAGGGUCUCCCUUCUACUGCCGCCGCAACGGCGCAACCUCCCUUCUACUGCCGCCGCAACCUCCCUUCUUCGAGUCCCAUCCGACCUAGCCCUGCAACCCGCCGGACGACGAGCAGUGAGGCCCGCGGCCGAGAUGGACCGGUACCUGACGGUGGAGCGGCCACGGAACGAGUCAACCAUCGAAGAGAACGGGAUCCGCAUCACCGCGCAGGGCCUCAUCUGCAACUAUGUCUCCUACGCUACCUCCCUCCUCCAGGUGCCUGGGCUUGUCCUCACCAUCGCCGUCGUAUCGUAUUGUACUUAGGAUGCGCUGUUCUGUUCGAGUCCCGUCCCUGUCGAUUCGAAGAGAUCCCCAGCAACGUGAGGGAGGUGUUCCUGACCGGCCCCACCUCCAAGUUCGGCAGGGCCAUCGCGCUCUACCUCUGCAGGAAGAAGAUCAGAGUCCUGAUGUUCACGGUGUCGUCGGAGAGGUUCCUGAAGAUCCAGAGGGAGGCACCGCCGGAGUACCAGCAGUACCUCGUGCAGGUGACCAAGUACCAGGCCGCACAGAACUGCAAGGUCAUGGUGAUUUCACGUCCGUUAGGCUCGAGAGGUGGACUCAAACAUCCAAGUUUUGCAAGUUUUGAUGUUGGAUGUUAAAUUUCUAUGCUCACCCCUCGUUUGGUUAUUGAUUUGAUCAUAGUUUUGCAUGAACUAUUGGCGUUGGCUAUCUAAAAGGACAGAAAGGCAGACAUGAGCAACAGAUCCCGCUCCAUGGGCUGAAACUGGGAUUCGUGAUGGCAGGCGCCCCUCUUAGUCGUGUGUAGGGCGAGCUGCUGCCAUGGUGGCUUUUUCUUGCGGGUGUGAGCUCCGCUCGCCGCCGGUCUUGGACGCCGUGGCUAGGCUCCUACCACCCCUCCCUCCACCCGGGACUCCACGCUGCCACCGCCACACGACAGUACGCAUACACUCUUCUUCCUCCCCUCGCUCUGGAUGGCUGGCGUCCGCUCCCUCAGCGCCUCCGCCCAUGCCCGGCUCCCGCACUUGCCGGCUCCCCGAUGGAGAUGAAUGAAGAAAGGAAGAUCUGCAAGAAUAAAGUCGAGGCGGAGGCUUGGUUUACUGGUCUUAGUGCCUUGAUAUGUCGAAGACAGCAUGGAUCCCAGGUCCAACAUAUAGAUGGAAUCCGGAUUGCUGGACUUCCUAUUGAUUUUCCAAGAUCGGAGAUGCAAUUUCAUACUGUGCAAAAGCAAUUUCGCUAUGCAAGUCACGCAUACAGAACCUGAAAAGUUCCAAGGAUGCUUUGUUGGAUGGUAUAGAUGGUGGUGAUGCAUCUGCUGCUGAAGCUGAAGGAGGCUCAGAAAAAUCUACCAUUGAAAAAGAGCUAGAGCAGCUUACUAGCAUAUUGCCUGAUCUUGAGAAGAAGCUUGAGGACCUGUCUGAAGCAAACCCAAGCGCUGACAUGGAUGAGAUGGUGAAGGCAAUUGUGUCCAGGGUAACUGAAGUGAUGCCAAAAGCUGCAUCUUUUACUUCUUCCCAAAUAGCAACCUCAAGCAAUGGAUUCGACUCCUCGGUUAUGUCUACGACAGCGACAACUGGAAGCUCUGGAAGCACUGUGAACUGACCUUGGGGUUGUAGGCAGAGGCGUCAAACGAGCUAGCAUCAAGCCGAUCUCUGCCAAACCUGUUGCUAAGAAACCUGCACUUGAUUCACCAUCUCUCCAAGGUGACAACAGCAUCAACUCUGAGGUUGUCCCUGCGACGCAGACUGAUGAAUCCAGCUAAAGCUCUACAUUUGAAACGAACGCUUUCUGACGGGGGCACGGCGAUAACACGCCUUCUAUUCUAGUAUGCUUAGAUAGAUUCAAUGUUAGCGCAAACGACUGAUGAUAAGUUUUUCAGUUAGUAUUUUAAUUUGGAUUUAGAGUACACUUAUGUAUGAUUUAUUUGACAAUGCUUAUUUAUGAGACAUUGAAUUGUACUUAUCUAUAUUACAUUAAAUAUGAUGUUAUUAAA